AGCUCUGCGCAGUGACGAUAUCGUACCCAAUGAGGAACAUCCGAGGUGGGAUUAUUGCUAAUUGAAGAAGUAAAAUUGAUUCCUAAUCCAACGGUAGUCCAACGUCUACCUUGCGGUUAUAUCAUAGAUAUUACCUAUCCAUAGU